rnacentral:rRNA from 1 species
CCUACGGGAGGCAGCAGUGGGGAAUAUUGCACAAUGGGGGAAACUCUGAUGCAGCGACGCCGCGUGAGUGAAGAAGGAUUUCGGUAUGUAAAGCUCUAUCAGCAGGGAAGAAAAUGACGGUAUCUGAGUAAGAAGCACCGGCUAACUACGUGACAGCAGCCGCGGUAAUACGUAGGGGGCAAGCGUUAUCCGGAUUUACUGGGUGUAAAGGGAGCGUAGACGGCAGCGCAAGUCUGGAGUGAAAUGCCGGGGCUUAACCCCGGAACUGCUUUUGAAACUGUGCAGCUAGAGUGCAGGAGAGGUAAGUGGAAUUCCUAGUGUAGCGGUGAAAUGCGUAGAUAUUAGGAGGAACACCGAUGGCGAAGGCGGCUUACUGGACUGUAACUGACGUUGAGGCUCGAAAGCGUGGGGAGCAAACAGGAUUAGAUACCCGAGUAGUC